rnacentral:lncRNA from 1 species
AAAAACUCCAUACUGUGACCAUCUCCAAGCUCUGUCUUAUCCUUCUGUGAGUUUACCAUGUCAUCUAUCUGCAAUCUUUGGGGCAAGGCUGGAACAUAGGAAGGGAAGCCAGACCUGUGUCUAGGUUUGCCUAAAGAGAAGGUACUGCUUUUGGACAGUGAGUUUGUGGAAGCCUCGCCCGCAUCCUACAGCCCAGACGAGUUAGUAACACACUCAGCUGUGGCACCCUGUCCCUGGUCAGCUUCUUGUGCUGGGAAGAAUGUCCUCAUCAAGUCCCACAGGACCUGAAGCAAAAUUCCACCUCAACAACGACUUUCAUUCAUUUCUAGGAGCCAAGCGCCCAAAAUAGAUCUGGAUCAAGGUUGGCAUUCUGUGGCUGGGAGGAGUACCAUGUUUUAUUCAGAGGAUGUGUUUCUGACAAGUUGCGAGGCAAUCACAUCUCUAUCAGUGGAAUUGUAGACUAAAUGCAUGAGCAAAACUAGCUUUUAAG